CACGUGAGAACCUGGGGACGCUAGGUUCCGGAACCUGACCUGAGCUGGGGCCUGUGCUUCCAGCGGGUGGUGGGGGGCCUGGUGUGCUGGCAUCAAGUAAGCCGACUACCUCGGCAAAGGCUUAGGGACAAGAGACCAGCAGCCUGAACUGGCUGGGGCAUCCGGAAGGCUUAGAUCUUGUGGCCAAGAGUUCAGACCGUGGCGAAGUGGAGAGUGACAUGCAGUUGGAUGGCGGUGACUGCGUGGUAUGGAAGAAAAUUCAGCUGAAAUUUGCUAGAAAAUGAGUUGUUUUGGAAAGAGACUGUAGAGAAAGGCAAAUGGAAGAAGAAAGCUUCUGUGCCCCCACAGAUACCGACUGAAAAGUGUUAGCAUGAGCAAAAGUUCCUAUCUAAUAUUAUAUGCUUUCCUUUGCUCCCAGGUCCUGCAACCCUGGUUCCAGUCUGGCAAGCAUUGUAGACCUGGCUGCUGAAGACUGACGGGGCCCAGGGUCCGCUGCCCCCACCGCCAUCACCACCUCGGAACCCAGGGUAACGCUGUCAGUCUUUGAGCCUACGAGGAAACCAUUCGGAAGCUCCAGAACCCAGGCCCUAAUCACAACGCCCCUAUCCAGCAGGAAGCAGCCAGAUGAUCAACGACGCCCUUUUUCCUUUUUAUACUAAAGUAAGAAAUAAGAAUGUUAGCCCAAACUGCACUAUUUUGCAGACCCCUACCAUUUUACAAACUGGUCAGAGUGGAAAAUUCCACCAGGGCCUGAGCUGUGAGAAACAUCCUGUCAGGCAGGUCCCAGGCCUAACCCCUGGCUGCACUAAAUUCCUUCAUUAUCAGCAGCCAAACACACCGCCCCCACCCCAUUUUCACAACAAUCCCAGACCUCUCCUGCCCGGGACUGUAACUGGUCCAGCCUGUAAGCGGGAAGGGGGCUCUGGCACUAGCUGGUACCCCCUCUCCGCAGGUCUUUCUCCCAAUAAAUCUGUGUUGCCAUUGA
rnacentral:lncRNA from 1 species